GUGCUCGCUUUGGCAGCACAUACACAAAAAUUGGAGUGAUACAGAGAAGAAUAGCAUGGCCCUUGAGCAAGGAUGACAUGCAAAUUCGUGAAGUGUUCCAUAAUAUU
rnacentral:snRNA from 1 species